UGUUAUGGCGGCUGGGCGGGGCCGCCUUCGGGCGGGCCGGGUUGGUUUGGGCCGGUGUUGAGAACCCCGUUCAGUCGCCUCCAUG
rnacentral:antisense_RNA from 1 species